CCUACGGGAGGCAGCAGUAGGGAAUAUUGCUCAAUGGGGGAAACCCUGAAGCAGCAACGCCGCGUGGAGGAUGAAGGUUUUCGGAUUGUAAACUCCUUUUGUUAGAGAAGAUAAUGACGGUAUCUAACGAAUAAGCACCGGCUAACUCCGUGCCAGCAGCCGCGGUAAUACGGAGGGUGCAAGCGUUACUCGGAAUCACUGGGCGUAAAGCGCGCGUAGGCGGGAUAGCAAGUCAGAUGUGAAAUCCUAUGGCUUAACCAUAGAACUGCAGUUGAAACUGUUAUUCUAGAGUAUGGGAGAGGUAGGUGGAAUGCGUGGUGUAGGGGUAAAAUCCGUAGAGAUCAAGAGGAAUACUCAUUGCGAAGGCGACCUGCUAGAACAUAACUGACGCUGAUGCGCGAAAGCGUGGGGAGCAAACAGGAUUAGAUACCCGGGUAGUC
rnacentral:rRNA from 1 species